GGUCGAACCAAGUGUUUUGUAUUAUACCAACUAUACUGCAUACAAUUUAUGUAUAGUUGUAUGAUAUUUGUGAUUGUAGUGAAAAAGUUAAAUUAAGUAUACGGUACCUGAAAGAUAUAAAACCGGGUUGCUUCAAUCAGUAAGAGGAGUGUCAAUCAUUCGUUGUCGAAUAUUCUACAUUACACAUUCCGCUCUGUAUUCUGUGAUAGCAAGCUUGGUUGAUCUCGCGUGAAGAGGUAUGCCGUGUUAUAUUCAUCCCAGACGAAGUUCUGGAAGUGUUUUCAAGAAUAUGGCUCCAAUACUCCGAAACCAGAGCUAGUUUUGUUAUAAAUAACUGAGAUGUAACAAGUAUUUGGUUAGUACCAACAUUGGUAACAUAGAUAUGACUGGUAUUUCAUACAAAACUUCGGAUAUGAUUGACCGACUAUGGCGUGUAGCUGUUGUGUUUGUCUUGAUGAGUAUCUCUACGGACAGUAUUGAAACAACAAAUGAUAUCAACAAUUCAAAUGUACCAGUGAGAACAACUGAAUCACCAGUUCAGAAUAUGACAACAGUGACAGUGCAGACAACAGAAAGUCCGUUAAUACCUCAUGUCAACGUCACUGCAGUCACAG